GCUGUAGCUCGGUGGCAGAGGAUCUGCUGUGUGUGCAGAAGGCCUCAGGUUCAAUCCCCGCCAUCUCCA